rnacentral:rRNA from 1 species
UACGUAGGGGGCUAGCGUUGUCCGGAAUCAUUGGGCGUAAAGCGCGCGUAGGCGGCCAGAUAAGUCCGGUGUGAAAGUCACAGGCUCAACCUGUGAAUGCCGCUGGAAACUGUCUGGCUAGAGUCCGGAAGGGGCGAGUGGAAUUCCUGGUGUAGCGGUGAAAUGCGCAGAUAUCCGGAGGAACACCAGAGGCGAAAGCGGCGCUCUGGGCUGCACCUGACGCUGAACUGCGAAAGCCAGGGGAGCGAACGGG